rnacentral:rRNA from 1 species
UACGUAGGGGGCAAGCGUUGUCCGGAAUCAUUGGGCGUAAAGAGCGUGUAGGCGGCUCGGUAAGUCCGCUGUAAAAGUCCAGGGCUCAACCCUGGAAAGCCGGUGGAAACUGUCGAGCUAGAGUCCGGAAGAGGCGAGUGGAAUUCCUGGUGUAGCGGUGAAAUGCGCAGAUAUCAGGAGGAACACCAAUGGCGAAGGCAGCUCGCUGGGACGGUACUGACGCUGAGACGCGAAGGCUAGGGUAGCAAACAGG